rnacentral:rRNA from 1 species
GGGUGCGAUCAUACCAACACUAAUGCACCGGAUCCCAUCAGAACUCCGAAGUUAAGCGUGCUUGGGCGAGAGUAGUACUAGGAUGGGUGACCUCCUGGGAGGUCAUCGUGUUGCACCGC